ensembl:snRNA U6 U6 spliceosomal RNA
GUGCUCACUGGGGCAGCACAUAAACUAAAACUGGAACAAUACAGAAGCUAGCAUGGCCCCUGCACAAGGAUGACUGCCAUGCAAAUUCAUGAAGCAUUCCAUAUUUUU